UCGCCUACAUGAAGCUGGAAUUGCUAGUAAUCACAGGUCAGCAUACUGUGGUGAAUACGUUCCCCGGGCCUUGUACACACCGCCCGUCACACCAUGAGAGUUGAGAAUACCCGAAGCCCAUGUCAAAGUGGUCGAAGGUAGGCUUGAUGAUUGGGUGAAGUCGUAACAAGGUACC
rnacentral:rRNA from 1 species